UGGCAAGAUGCUCUGGGGUGUAUUGGAU
rnacentral:piRNA from 1 species